GUCUCGGUGGCGCAAUUGGUAAGCUCCUCUGCCUUAAGACAUUCCAUCACUCGGUUACUAAUUCAAUUCAACAGGUUAGCGCGUACGACUGUUAAUCGUGAGGUUGAGAGUUCGAUCCUCUCCCGGGACG